GUCCCGUUAGCUCAGCAGGCAGAGCACCGGAGCGGAUCCAGGAAACUUUUGAAGCCCUGGCGUGUUCGGAUGUCGCAGGUUCGAUUCCUGCACGGGACA
rnacentral:tRNA from 1 species